rnacentral:rRNA from 1 species
UAGGGAAUCUUCGGCAAUGGGGGCAACCCUGACCGAGCAACGCCGCGUGAGUGAAGAAGGUUUUCGGAUCGUAAAGCUCUGUUGUAAGUCAAGAACGGGUGUGAGAGUGGAAAGUUCACACUGUGACGGUAGCUUACCAGAAAGGGACGGCUAACUACGUGCCAGCAGCCGCGGUAAUACGUAGGUCCCGAGCGUUGUCCGGAGUUAUUGGGCGUAAAGCGAGCGCAGGCGGUUUGAUAAGUCUGAAGUUAAAGGCUGUGGCUCAACCAUAGUUCGCUUUGGAAACUGUCAAACUUGAGUGCAGAAGGGGAGAGUGGAAUUCCAUGUGUAGCGGUGAAAUGCGUAGAUAUAUGGAGGAACACCGGUGGCGAAAGCGGCUCUCUGGUCUGUAACUGACGCUGAGGCUCGAAAGCGUGGGGAGCGAACAGG